GUAGUCGGUUGGACCGAUGGCCGAAUCCGCCAUCGCGAUUAAUAGCUU
rnacentral:sRNA from 1 species